rnacentral:rRNA from 1 species
GAUGAACGCUGGCGGCGUGCCUAAUACAUGCAAGUCGAGCGAACGGACGAGAAGCUUGCUUCUCUGAUGUUAGCGGCGGACGGGUGAGUAACACGUGGAUAACCUACCUAUAAGACUGGGAUAACUUCGGGAAACCGGAGCUAAUACCGGAUGAUAUUUUGAACCGCAUGGUUCAAAAGUGAAAGACGGUCUUGCUGUCACUUAUAGAUGGAUCCGCGCUGCAUUAGCUAGUUGGUAAGGUAACGGCUUACCAAGGCAACGAUGCAUAGCCGACCUGAGAGGGUGAUCGGCCACACUGGAACUGAGACACGGUCCAGACUCCUACGGGAGGCAGCAGUAGGGAAUCUUCCGCAAUGGGCGAAAGCCUGACGGAGCAACGCCGCGUGAGUGAUGAAGGUCUUCGGCUCGUAAAACUCUGUUAUUAGGGAAGAACAUAUGUGUAAGUAACUGUGCACAUCUUGACGGUACCUAAUCAGAAAGCCACGGCUAACUACGUG